rnacentral:tRNA from 1 species
AAGUGAGAAGCAAUAAUUGCAAUCAGUUUCGACCUGAUCAUAGAUAAUCUUACUUAUCCUCACUUU